UGUUUAUAUAUACCCCUACACAUGUUUUAGAAUGUCAUUAACGGGCUUAACUGCCUUUAAAUCUAUACAACUUUCAACAACGGAUCUCUUGGCUCUUGCAUCGAUGAAGAACGCAGCGAAAUGCGAUAAGUAAUGUGAAUUGCAGAAUUCAGUGAAUCAUCGAAUCUUUGAACGCACCUUGCGCUCCUUGGUAUUCCGAGGAGCAUGCCUGUUUGAGUGUCAUGAAAUUCUCAAACCUUUUCAGCAUUUAUGUUGAUCAGGCUUGGAUGUGGGAGUUUGCGGGCUUCUCAGAAGUCGGCUCUCCUUAAAUACAUUAGCGGGACCUUUGUUGCCCAGCUUUAGUGUGAUAAUUAUCUACGCUAUUGUUGGGAGCAGCUUUUAAUGGGGUACAGCUUCUAAUUGUCUCAUNUGAGACAACUUUUGACAAUUGACAUCAAAUCAGGUAGG
rnacentral:rRNA from 1 species